CAAGACAUUUACCAAUGACUGGGAUGAGACUCGAUGUUUACCGACAUCGAAAGAUGAUGUUUACCGACAUCAAACAAGGACGACCAGACAUUUAUCGAUGACUGGGGAAACAAGAUAUACAACAAGACGUCAACGGACGAAUGGGAAAAACUCACCGUUUAUCGACACCAACGGAGAGGUGAACUUACUGGGGAAAAAGCUAAUCACAACCAAACGUCAAC
rnacentral:lncRNA from 1 species